UGGGGAUACUGGAAUGACAUAGGAGCAGAUGAAGAAAGCUGAGGAUACUAGAAUGACAUGGGAGCAGAUGAAGA